GACGAACCACACAAACGUUAUUCGGAAUUACUGGGCUUAAAGGGUGCGUAGGCUGUGCGGAAAGUUGGGUGUGAAAUCCCCUGGCUCAACCAGGGAAUUGCGCUCAAAACUACCGUGCUUGAGGAAGACAGAGGUGAGCGGAACUUCGGGUGGAGCGGUGAAAUGCGUUGAUAUCCGAAGGAACACCGGUGGCGAAAGCGGCUCACUGGGUCUUUUCUGACGCUGAUGCACGAAAGCUAGGGGAGCAAACGGG
rnacentral:rRNA from 1 species